rnacentral:rRNA from 1 species
UACGAAGGGGGCUAGCGUUGUUCGGAAUUACUGGGCGUAAAGCGCACGUAGGCGGAUUGUUAAGUCGGGGGUGAAAUCCUGAGGCUCAACCUCAGAACUGCCUUCGAUACUGGCGAUCUUGAGUUCGGAAGAGGUUGGUGGAACAGCUAGUGUAGAGGUGAAAUUCGUAGAUAUUAGCUAGACCACCAGUGGCGAAGGCGGCCAACUGGUCCGAUACUGACGCUGAGGUGCGAAAGCGUGGGGAGCAAACAGG